rnacentral:rRNA from 1 species
GACGAACGCUGGCGGCGUGCCUAACACAUGCAAGUCGAGCGAGUGAAGUUCCUUCGGGAAUGGAUUUAGCGGCGGACGGGUGAGUAACACGUGGGCAACCUACCUCAUAGAGGGGAAUAGCCUUCCGAAAGGGGGAUUAAUACCGCAUAAGAUUGUAGUACCGCAUGGUACAGCAAUUAAAGGAGCAAUCCGCUAUGAGAUGGGCCCGCGGCGCAUUAGCUAGUUGGUGAGGUAACGGCUCACCAAGGCGACGAUGCGUAGCCGACCUGAGAGGGUGAUCGGCCACAUUGGGACUGAGACACGGCCCAGACUCCUACGGGAGGCAGCAGUGGGGAAUAUUGCACAAUGGGGGAAACCCUGAUGCAGCAACGCCGCGUGAGUGAUGACGGCCUUCGGGUUGUAAAGCUCUGUCUUCAGGGACGAUAAUGACGGUACCUGAGGAGGAAGCCACGGCUAACUACGUGCCAGCAGCCGCCGUAACAC